GUGAAUAGGACUGAGUUAUUCACCUCGAAAUUAGCUAGAACAAACAGCACAACAAACAUGUUUUGAGAGAGGAAAGAGCUAUGGGGGAACACAUAAUAUUCGAGCUGCAAGAACGCACAUUAUUGGAUCCACAUAUACAGAAAGAGUUUAAAGAACAUAUAAAAUCAAAGAAAUUCUAAAUAACAUAGUGAAAAAAAACAAUAGCAUGGGGGUAUACUGGAGCAAUCCGUUACCUUUUCUCCCCCUAGCUAACCUUCACAUCAUUUUUACACGUUUAUAGUUUGAAGUAGAAUUCCGGAUCCCUCUACUGGUCACAGAGUAUGGUGCCGAUGCUGAUCUAAGGGAAGGUGACUUGUCGAUGUAUGCACAUCGCUCAUUGCCAUUCCAGUACAAAAUUACGCGAUUUGUGCAAGAAUGUGACCAACUAUCACCUAGUGCAAGACCUAAUUGGAAGGAGCCUUCUGUGUGCUUUGUUGUUACCUGAUUCAAUAAAACUACCUGCACACAGAAAGAAAGAAAUUAAUCAUAAAGCAAUUGAAGAAUGCCCAUUGAACUUAAGAUCAAAUCCAGGGUUAUCAGAGCACAUAAAUGGGCACAGAUACAAAAGCAAAGUAUUCAGUAAAAGAAUGGAUGCUCGCUUGCACAGAUUAUACUGAAAAGGUGAAACCAACUCUUUGCAAAAGCUUUGCUUAAGCUGUCCAACAACUUGUGUCCAGAUAUCUGAUAUGAGAAUGAUGGGGCUUCCAAAGAAGGAAGGAAGUUGAUAAUAAAAAAACGAAAAUUGCACCCCAAACGUCAAAGUUCUUUUACUUGAAAUGAAAGUGAGAAGUUUCCUCUGAUUCACAAUUUCAAAAUUGACCAAUUGAACAAAUAUUUCUUACCGCUAGGCUGAAAUUUUUUGCAACCUUCAUCAACUUUAAUGCCAUUCCACUGAGUACCCGUGUUCUGAGGGCUAAGUCAUCAAAAUCUUGGCGGAAGUGGAAAGUAAUGCUAUCAAUUAUAACAAUUUUAACCUGAUAAAAGAAAAAACAAGUUGUAAAUUCAACAAUAAUAGCUUUUACAACUCAUGUAAGAACAAAUUGGUCAAAGAACCCUUCGCUCACAGAAAGGAUGCGUUUGAGUGUGAGAUACCAUCUUAUGAAAGUAUUAACAGAUAAAAAUUUUCCUUUCAAGCAAUUAAAUAGGCCUAUUCAUAAUGACGUAACCAUUUAGAGCAGAAUACUGCACCUCAUGGAAAAAGACAAUCAGACAAACCAUUGUGUAGGCAAUGUGGCAGUUGGCAUAAUUCUGAACCAUCAUAUUACUUACAUCUCUAUGCUCUGUAAUGAAUUUGUCCAAGUAAUUAACCAGAGCAAUUUGCUCUGUAUAACUGCAGACACGGAAAUAGUAUAUAUUCUCCAGGAUAUCUUUGCUUUGCAGUCCCACUUGAAAUGUCUGCAAAUCUUUGCGUAAAAACCUACUAUAUUCUGACAUGUCCUCUAUGCAUGCUUCAGCAACCUGUAGAGCACGCUCCACCAUAAAACUUCCUUCUGUAUCUAAGUAUUGCAAAAGUACAAGUACAACAUUAUAAACAUGCAGACUAAUGAAAGAUCAAUUCACAUAGUAAAUAAUAACCAUUAAUUUACCUAUAUAAAUAGCCCUUCCUCCAAGGCCACCACAAUGUGGUGGAAUUUGAACAUUUACUGCAAGUUGAAUCCUAUGAAUUCAAACAAAAUUAUGCUUCUCUAACAAAGGCCCAGCAAGCAUACAAUCAUUUACAUAUGUUCCCAUGCACAUACACACAUCAAAAAGAAAGAAAAGGUUAAUGUUCCAUACCCCAGCUGUGUUUUACCAAUGCCUGGUACUCCACCAAUUUCAGUCACUUCUUUACAAGAUAUUCCUCCUCCAAGAAUGUUAUCUAGAUCUGCAGAAGAUGUGGUAAUGCGUGUCAAAGACGACUCCUCAUGAAGCAUGUCCCAGGCAUUCUGUGCACCAUUGAUAAUAGCAUGGCUUCCUUCUGCAUUGUCGGACCUACUACUGCGUGAUGCAACAUUCAGAAUUUCAAGAGCUUCGC
rnacentral:misc_RNA from 1 species